CUACGGGAGGCAGCAGUGGGGAAUUUUCCGCAAUGGGCGAAAGCCUGACGGAGCAAUACCGCGUGAGGGAAGACGGCCUAUGGGUUGUAAACCUCUUUUUUCAGGGAGGAAUUUUGACGUGUACCUGAAGAAUAAGCAUCGGCUAACUCCGUGCCAGCAGCCGCGGUAAGACGGAGGAUGCAAGUGUUAUCCGGAAUCACUGGGCGUAAAGCGUCUGUAGGUGGUUGAACAAGUCAACUGUUAAAUCUUGAGGCUCAACUUCAAAAUCGCAGUCGAAACUGUUUGACUAGAGUAUAGUAGGGGUAAAGGGAAUUUCCAGUGGAGCGGUGAAAUGCGUAGAUAUUGGAAAGAACACCGAUGGCGAAAGCACUUUACUGGGCUAUUACUAACACUCAGAGACGAAAGCUAGGGUAGCAAAUGGGAUUAGAUACCCCAGUAGUCCUAGCCGUAAACAAUGGAUACUAGAUGUUGAACAGAUCGACCUGUGCAGUAUCAAAGCUAACGCGUUAAGUAUCCCGCCUGGGAAGUAUGCUCGCAAGAGUGAAACUCAAAG
rnacentral:rRNA from 1 species